GUCAGGAUGGCCGAGUGGUCUAAGGCGUCAGACUCAAGUUCUGGUCUCCAAAGGGAGUGGUGGGUUCAAAUCCCACUCCUGACA